GACGAACGCUGGCGGCGUGCCUAAUACAUGCAAGUAGAACGCUGAAGGAGGAGCUUGCUUCUCUGGAUGAGUUGCGAACGGGUGAGUAACGCGUAGGUAACCUGCCUGGUAGCGGGGGAUAACUAUUGGAAACGAUAGCUAAUACCGCAUAAUAGUAGAUGUUGCAUGACAUUUGCCUAAAAGGUGCAAUUGCAUCACUACCAGAUGGACCUGCGUUGUAUUAGCUAGUUGGUGGGGUAACGGCUCACCAAGGCGACGAUACAUAGCCGACCUGAGAGGGUGAUCGGCCACACUGGGACGGAGACACGGCCCAGACUCCUACGGGAGGCAGCAGUAGGAAAUCUUCGGCAAUGGACGGAAGUCUGACCGAGCAACGCCGCGUGAGUGAAGAAGGGUUUCGGAUCGUAAAGCUCUGUUGUAAGAGAAGAACGAGUGUGAGAGUGGAAAGUUCACACUGUGACGGUAUCUUACCAGAAAGGGACGGCUAACUACGUG
rnacentral:rRNA from 1 species